rnacentral:rRNA from 1 species
GUAGGUGGCAAGCGUUGUCCGGAAUUAUUGGGCGUAAAGCGCGCGCAGGCGGUUCUUUAAGUCUGAUGUGAAAGCCCACGGGCUCAACCGUGAAGGGUCAUUGGAAACUGGAGAACUUGAGUACAGAAGAGGAAAGCGGAAUUCCACGUGUAGCGGUGAAAUGCGUAGAGAUGUGGAGGAACACCAGUGGCGAAGGCGGCUUUCUGGUCUGUAACUGACGCGGAGGCGCGAAAGCGUGGGGAGCAAACAGGAUUAGAUACCCUGGUAGUCCACGCCGUAAACGAUGAGUGCUAAGUGUUAGGGGGUUUCCGCCCCUUAGUGCUGCAGCUAACGCAUUAAGCACUCCGCCUGGGGAGUACGGCCGCAAAGGCUG